rnacentral:rRNA from 1 species
CAAGUCGAACGAAGUAGCAAUACUUAGUGGCAGACGGGUGAGUAACAUGUAGGUAUCUUCCCUUUGGUGAGGAAUAACACGAGGAAACUUGUGCUAAUACUUCAUAAGUCUUUACGGAGAAAGCUUUAUGCGCCGAAGGAUGAGCCUGCAUUUGAUUAGUUUGUUGGUGGGGUAAUGGCCUACCAAGACUUUGAUCAAUAGCUGAUCUGAGAGGAUGAUCAGCCACAUUGGGACUGAGACACGGCCCAAACUCCUACGGGAGGCAGCAGUAGGGAAUAUUGCACAAUGGAGGAAACUCUGAUGCAGCGAUGCCGCGUGAGUGAAGAAGGCCUUUGGGUUGUAAAGCUCUUUCGUCGGGGAAGAAAAUGACUGUACCCGAAUAAGAAGGUCCAGCUAACUUCGUGCCAGCAGCCGCGGUAAUACGAAGGGACCUAGCGUAGUUCGGAAUUACUGGGCUUAAAGAGUUCGUAGGUUGUUAAAAAAGUUGGUGGUGAAAUCCCAGAGCUUAACUCUGGAACUGCCAUCAAAACUUUUUAGCUAGAGUUUGAUAGAGGAAAGCAGAAUUUCUAGUGUAGAGGUGAAAUUCGUAGAUAUUAGAAAGAAUACCAAUUGCGAAGGCAGCUUUCUGGAUCAUUACUGACACUGAGGAACGAAAGCAUGGGUAGCGAAGAGGAUUAGAUACCCUCGUAGUCCAUGCCGUAAACGAUGUGUGUUAGACGUUGGAAAUUUAUUUUCAGUGUCGCAGCGAAAGCAUUAAACACACCGCCUGGGGAGUACGACCGCAAGGUUAAAACUCAAAUGAAUUGACGGGGACCCGCACAAGUAGUGGAGCAUGUGGUUUAAUUCGAAGAUACGCGCAGAACCUUACCAACACUUGACAUGUUCGUCGCGACUUUAAGAGAUUAAAGUUUUCGGUUCGGCCGGACGAAACACAGGUGCUGCA